AGCUAUAAGUUCUCUGUAUCGCAGCUAACGCAAUAAGCACUCCGCCUGGGGAGUACGACCGCAAGGUUGAAACUCAAAGGAAUUGACGRGGGCCCGCACAAGCGGUGGAKCAUGUGGUUUAAUUCGAAGCAACGCGAAGAACCUUACCAGGUCUUGACRUACUSGUGCUAUUCCUAGAGAUAGGAAGUUCCUUCGGGACACGGGAUACAGGUGGUGCAUGGUUGUCGUCAGCUCGUGUCGUGAGAUGUUGGGUUAAGUCCCGCAACGAGCGCAACCCCUAUUGUUAGUUGCCAUCAUUAAGUUGGGCACUCUAACGAGACUGCCGGUGAUAAACCGGAGGAAGGUGGGGAUGACGUCAAAUCAUCAUGCCCCUUAUGACCUGGGCUACACACGUGCUACAAUGGAUGGUACAACGAGUCGCGAGACAGUGAUGUUUAGCUAAUCUCUUAAAACCAUUCUCAGUUCGGAUUGUAGGCUGCAACUCGCCUACAUGAAGUCGGAAUCGCUAGUAAUCGCGGAUCAGCACGCCGCGGUGAAUACGUUCCCGGGCCUUGUACACACCGCCCGUCACACCACGGGAGUUGGGAGUACCCGAAGUAGGUUGCCUAACCGC
rnacentral:rRNA from 1 species